rnacentral:misc_RNA from 5 species
AACGCACCUUGCGCCCCUUGGCAUUCCGAGGGGCACACCCGUUUGAGUGUCGUGAAAUUCUCAAAAACCUUUUUCUUUUUGGGAAAGGGUUUUUGGACUUGGAGGCUUUUUGCUGGCUUCACCUUGAAGUGAGCUCCUCCUAAAUGAAUCAGUGGGGUCCGCUUUGCCGAUCCUUGACGUGAUAAGAUGUUUCUGCGUCUUUGGGUUUGGCACUGUCACCUGCUUCUAACUGUCUCAUUGACAAUGAUGGUGCUCCGGUCACCACCGCUCUUAUCGGUGGGAGGCUUGACCCACAAAAACAAAACCUUGACCUCAAAUCGGGUGAGACUACCCGCUGAACUUAA